rnacentral:rRNA from 1 species
AAAGCUCAAAUUUGUAAUCUGGCGCCUUCGGCGUCCGAGUUGUAAUCUCGAGAAGUAUUUUCCGCGCUGGACCGCACAUAAGUCUGUUGGAAUACAGCGUCAUAGUGGUGAGAACCCCGUAUAUGGUGCGGAUGCCCAGUGCUUUGUGAUAUACUUUSSAAGAGUCGAGUUGUUUGGGAAUGCASCUCAAAUUGGGUGGUAAAUUCCAUCUAAAGCUAAAUAUUGGCGAGAGACCGAUAGCGAACAAGUACCGUGAGGGAAAGAUGAAAAGCACUUUGGAAAGAGAGUUAACAGUACGUGAAAUUGUUGGAAGGGAAACGCUUGAAGUCAGACUUGCAUUUUGGAGUUCAGCCGCAAGGUGUAUUCUUCAWUUCGCAGGCCAGCAUCAGUUUUCGGGGGUGGAAAAUCGCGGUUUGAAGGUAGCAGUCUCGGCUGUGUUAUAGCUUUCCGCUGGAUUCACUUUUGGGGACUGAGGAACGCACUACGCUUUUUGC